rnacentral:rRNA from 1 species
AACGAACGCUGGCGGCAGGCUUAACACAUGCAAGUCGAGCGCCCCGCAAGGGGAGCGGCAGACGGGUGAGUAACGCGUGGGAAUCUACCCAUCUCUACGGAAUAACGCAUGGAAACGUGUGCUAAUACCGUAUACGUCCUUCGGGAGAAAGAUUUAUCGGAGAUGGAUGAGCCCGCGUUGGAUUAGCUAGUUGGUGGGGUAAAGGCCUACCAAGGCGACGAUCCAUAGCUGGUCUGAGAGGAUGAUCAGCCACACUGGGACUGAGACACGGCCCAGACUCCUACGGGAGGCAGCAGUGGGGAAUAUUGGACAAUGGGCGCAAGCCUGAUGCAGCCAUGCCGCGUGAGUGAUGAAGGCCCCAGGGUUGUAAAGCUCUUUCACCGGUGAAGAUAAUGACGGUAACCGGAGAAGAAGCCCCGGCUAACUUCGUGCCAGCCGCCGCAGUAACAC